AUUGAACGCUGGCGGCAUGCCUUACACAUGCAAGUCGAACGGCAGCGCGGACUUCGGUCUGGCGGCGAGUGGCGAACGGGUGAGUAAUGUAUCGGAACGUACCAUUCAGUGGGGGAUAACGCAGCGAAAGUUGCGCUAAUACCGCAUAUUCUGUGCGAAGGAAAGCAGGGGAUCGCAAGAACUUGCGGUGACUUACCGGCCGAUAUCAGAUUAGCUAGUUGGUGAGGUAAAGGCUCACAAAGGCGACGAUCUGUAGCGGGUCUGAGAGGAUGAUCCGCCACACUGGAACUGAGACACGGUCCAGACUCCUACGGGAGGCAGCAGUGGGGAAUUUUGGACAAUGGGCGCAAGCCUGAUCCAGCCGUGCCGCGUGAGUGAAGAAGGCCUUCGGGUUGUAAAGCUCUUUCGGCCGGGAAGAAAUCGUAUGGGUUAAUACCCUGUGCGGAUGACGGUACCGGCAUAAGAAGCACCGGCUAACUACGUGCCAGCCGCCGCAGUAACAC
rnacentral:rRNA from 1 species